rnacentral:misc_RNA from 1 species
ACAGCUCUUGAAAUCAGUAGUUUGGAAGACCUCAAACCAAGUGGGGACACACAAGGCUUGGCAAUAGAUUUUUUCUUUCACCAACCGUAUAUUAAUUUUUUUUUCAACUAGCUAGCAUACAAAAAAAAGGAAGCACGAAUUUCAAGCGAAAUAGGCAUUAUUAAUCCCGCUUAGUUUGACUUGGUGAAUUUUUGGAUGUUGUUAUUUUUUUUAAACGGAUGCUGUAUUUGAAUUGCGGAUAGUGUUAAAAUUUUUAAGAUUCUGACCUUUAUAAUAUUAAAAGUCGAAAUUUUGUAUGAAGUGUUUUUUUGAAAUUAUAACGGAGAAAGUGUUGUUUGAUAUAUAAACCACAAUGGAAUUCAAAUAGAAAGUUUCAAUUUAUAAAAAAGUAAACAUUCUUAUAAUUGUUAAAGACAAUAAACGACGGACUAAGUAAAAAGUUUGCAUAGAUUAUGAAUUUCCAAAUUUAUAUGAUAUCUAAACUAUCCUUUAAUCUGCCGGAGUGUGUUUGAAACAUUCGCGGCUGGUGUUAUAUAUUGUGACGAAUAUAUAAAAAAUAUAAAAAGGUGUUUGACAAUUGGAGAGCUCUAUUUAUAAAUUUUAAGUGCAGUGAACCGAGAGUAAAUUAAAAAUCAAAUCCUUCCACAAUCCGUACAAGUACAACGGAAUCAAAUUCCAUCAGUUUGUUAAAGAUGACAGACGUGCCUAGUACAGAUGGUGCUCUAGACGAAUCCUUUAACAUACGACCGAAGCGAACAGAUGAAGCAAUCGAAAUGCCUUUGUUAAGAAAUCCAACAGAAACGUCCUCAGCAGGAACGCAGCAUUGUCAGGUCGUAAAAGUUUCAACAUUACCUGAACGUGGUACAUGGAGUAGCAAAUUAGAUUUCAUUUUAUCGGUGGUCGGUUUAGCUAUCGGAUUAGGCAACGUUUGGCGUUUCCCAUAUUUAUGCUAUAAGAAUGGUGGUGGUGCAUUUUUAGUUCCAUACUUCUUAACACUAAUUUUAGCUGGUAUACCAAUGUUUUUCAUGGAAUUAGCUCUUGGACAAAUGUUAACAAUUGGUGGUUUGGGUGUUUUUAAAAUUGCACCGAUAUUUAAAGGGAUAGGUUACGCAGCUGCUGUUAUGUCCUGCUGGAUGAAUGUCUAUUAUAUUGUGAUAUUGGCAUGGGCUAUCUUCUACUUUUUUAUGUCAAUGCAAUCGGACGUGCCGUGGCGAACAUGUAACAACUAUUGGAAUACAUUAAAUUGUGUCAAUCCAUAUGAACGCAACGAUCUACUCUGCUGGGAGCAAGUAAACAAAAUCAAUGGCAGUUUAACGAAAAUUUGUAGUCUUGCUGCUGGCAACAAUAUAUCAGCUUCCGAUAUCACUGAUCCUGUUAAGGAGUUUUGGGAACGUCGUGCGCUAAUGAUCUCAGAUGGAAUUGAACAUGUGGGAAGUAUCCGGUGGGAACUAGCUGGAACUCUGUUACUUGUAUGGAUUCUGUGCUAUUUUUGCAUUUGGAAAGGGGUUAAAUGGACCGGAAAAGUUGUCUACUUCACAGCUUUAUUCCCUUAUAUUUUAUUAACGAUUCUACUGAUUCGUGGCAUUACAUUACCUGGAGCUGCCGAAGGGAUCAAAUUUUAUAUAAUACCGAAUUUUUCAAAAUUAAGUGAAUCGCAGGUCUGGAUAGAUGCAGUUACGCAGAUCUUUUUCUCAUAUGGACUUGGUUUAGGAACACUAGUGGCUUUAGGAAGUUACAACAAAUUUACAAAUAACGUUUACAAGGACGCAUUAAUUGUGUGUACAGUAAACUCAAGUACAAGUAUGUUUGCUGGGUUUGUAAUAUUUUCGGUUGUUGGUUUCAUGGCACAUGAACAACAACGUCCUGUUGCUGAAGUAGCUCUUUCAGGUCCUGGGUUAGCAUUCCUUGCAUAUCCUUCUGCAGUACUUCAAUUGCCAGGAUCACCUUUAUGGGCAUGCUUGUUCUUUUUUAUGCUUCUAUUGAUUGGCCUGGAUUCUCAAUUUUGUACUAUGGAAGGAUUUAUUACGGCCGUUAUUGACGAAUGGCCACAGCUGUUACGGAAGCGAAAGGAACUUUUUAUAGCCGUAGUGUGCGCGUUAAGUUACCUGGUUGGAUUAUCAUGUAUAUCACAAGGAGGAAUGUACGUCUUUCAAAUUUUGGACUCUUAUGCAGUAAGCGGUUCAUGCCUGCUGUUCUUGAUCUUUUUCGAAUGCGUGUCGAUCUCUUGGGCUUACGGUGUUGAUCGUUUCUAUGAUGGUAUCAAGGAUAUGAUUGGAUAUUAUCCAUUGGUUUGGUGGAAAUUCUGCUGGUGUAUAGCAACGCCGUUAAUUUGUGUGGGCGUCUUUAUAUUCAAUUUAGUCCAAUGGACACCUAUAAAAUAUUUAAAUUAUUCAUAUCCCUGGUGGUCGCAUGCAUUUGGAUGGUUUACAGCCCUUUCCUCGAUGCUUUGUAUUCCUGGCUAUAUGAUUUGGUUAUGGAUGAAAACGCCAGGGGAUCGAGCGACGAAAAUUCGGCAGAUUGUUCGGAUAGAGGACGAUGUUCAAUCGCUACGUGAGAAAAUGCGACAAGAAAACGAGAAAGUCGAAACAUACGCUUUAUAAGUUUUCUUCUAGUAAAUAAAUUAAAACUGCAAAGUUAUACUACAUACAUUAGUAAAGGUGGAAGAUUGGUAUAUCUAUCUGCCUUUGCUUCGGACAAGGGCAAAAUAGCGUAACAAAGUUGAGUAGAAGAUUUAAGCGAAUAGAACAAUCGAAUAGAAACAAGAAGAACUUUGCAAUCAUUAGCCAACAUUUGAGACACAUACAGUUGUCUUUUCCCUUAAAAUCAAAGGGCAGGUAAAUUCCAGAACAACGACGUAUUACUUUUCUUAGAUUUUAGAUGAAACAGUUUUAGUGACAUCAAUGAAAUAUUCUUAAUUUUUAAGAUCUUGACAUGUUAAAGAUUUGUUCACAGAUAAUAUUUCGAUCUAAAACAUAUUAUGCCUUCAGACUUAUGAAAAUGGCGACCUUGAGGCGAACAAUACUAUUUAAUACGUUUUAAUUUUUCCCUUGGAUCAACGGAGGGAAAAUAAAAUAUCGAAUAUGGUUACAUGUGUUCACUGAGAGAGAAAGACAAUAAAAAUUAAAAACAAAUUCUAGAGUGUAUUAAAGAUAACAAAAUGUACCACGAUUAAUCAAAAUUAAUUCAGUUAUCCGAGUGCCAUACGAACCAAAGAAAAUAAUUUACAAUGCUCAAAGCUAAGUCUAUGAAAACAAGUUUAGAUAAAUUCAAUUAAAUUUAAGAUACAUUUCUCCGGCAAAAUAUGGAAAAUAUUAUGUUCAAUUACAGAGAAAGCGGUGAAAUUAUAUAUUAGCAAACGCAGAUCUAUAUUCAAUUGAACUCAACUUAUGCGAUAUUUGAGCGCUGUUUGAGAAAAUGGCAAAUAAAUAAAACACAAAAAAAAAAAAGAUAUUACAAGUUUCACGUCAUGAUAACAAUAAAAUAGCAGAACUGCUAAAAUAUAGUGCGUUGUGGAUAGGUUAGUAACAAGAAAAUGAAAACAAUAUACUAUACACUUGUUCAACAUAGUUAAAGUGGAAUAAAAGUAAGGAAUUAACAAAAAAGGAUACUAAAAUAAAA